rnacentral:rRNA from 1 species
GACGUAGGGCGCAAGCGUUGUCCGGAAUUAUUGGGCGUAAAGAGCUUGUAGGCGGUUUGUCGCGUCUGCUGUGAAAUCUCAAGGCUCAACCUUGAGCUUGCAGUGGGUACGGGCAGACUAGAGUGUGGUAGGGGAGACUGGAAUUCCUGGUGUAGCGGUGAAAUGCGCAGAUAUCAGGAGGAACACCGAUGGCGAAGGCAGGUCUCUGGGCCACUACUGACGCUGAGAAGCGAAAGCAUGGGGAGCGAACAGG